rnacentral:rRNA from 1 species
CCUAAGGUAGCGAAAUUCCUUGUCAGGUAAGUUCUGACCCGCACGAAAGGCGUAACGAUUUGGGCGCUGUCUCAGCUGUAGACUCGGUGAAGUCUUAGUACCUGUGAAGAUGCAGGUUACCCGCGACUAGACGGAAAGACCCCAUGGAGCUUCACUGCAGGUUGAUAUUGGGAUUUGAUGCAGCAUGUACAGGAUAGGUAGGAGGCAAAGAGAUGGAUACGCCAGUAUUCAAGGAGCCGCUGUUGGGAUACUACCCCUGUUGUAUUGGAUUUCUAACCGGACGACGUAGAGCCGUUGACGGGACAGUGUCAGUCGGGCAGUUUGACUGGGGCGGUCGCCUCCCAAAGAGUAACGGAGGCGCCCAAAGAUACCCUCAGCUUGGAUGGAAACCAAGCGCAGAGUGCAAAGGCAAAAGGGUGUUUGACUGCGAGACCCACAAGUCGAGCAGGGACGAAAGUCGGGCUUAGUGAUCCGGCGGUGCUGAAUGGAAAGGCCGUCGCUCAACGGAUAAAAGCUACCCUGGGGAUAACAGGCUGAUCUCCCCCAAGAGUUCACAUCGACGGGGAGGUUUGGCACCUCGAUGUCGGCUCAUCGCAUCCUGGAGCUGAAGUCGGUUCCAAGGGUUGGGCUGUUCGCCCAUUAAAGCGGUACGCGAGCUGGGUUCAGAACGUCGUGAGACAGUUCGGUCCCUAUCUGUCGUGGGCGCAGGAAAUUUGAGAAGAGCUGUCCUCAGUACGAGAGGACCGGGAUGGACGCAUCAAUGGUGGACCAGUUGUCACGCCAGUGGCAUAGCUGGGUAGCUAAAUGCGGAAGGGAUAAACGCUGAAGGCAUCUAAGUGUGAAACCCACUUCAAGAUGAGAUUUCCCAUUGCGCAAGCAAGUAAGACCCCUUAAAGACGAUAAGGUAGAUAGGUCAGGAGUGUAAGCAUGGUGACAUGUUAAGCGGACUGAUACUAAUAGGUCGAGGGCUUGACCGA